rnacentral:rRNA from 1 species
UCCAGACUCCUACGGGAGGCAGCAGUGGGGAAUAUUGGGCAAUGGGCGCAAGCCUGACCCAGCAACGCCGCGUGAAGGAAGAAGGCUUUCGGGUUGUAAACUUCUUUUAUUCGGGACGAAGAAAGUGACGGUACCGAAUGAAUAAGCCACGGCUAACUACGUGCCAGCAGCCGCGGUAAUACGUAGGUGGCAAGCGUUAUCCGGAUUUAUUGGGUGUAAAGGGCGUGUAGGCGGGAAUGCAAGUCAGAUGUGAAAACUCAGGGCUCAACCCUGAGCCUGCAUUUGAAACUGUAUUUCUUGAGUGCUGGAGAGGCAAUCGGAAUUCCGUGUGUAGCGGUGAAAUGCGUAGAUAUACGGAGGAACACCAGUGGCGAAGGCGGCCUGCUGGACUGCAACUGACGUUGAGGCCCGAAAGCGUGGGGAGCAAACAGGAUUAGAUACCCCGGUAC